rnacentral:rRNA from 1 species
AGCUGCUGGACAAAGAUUGCCCUUGUGGGCUCAUUCGCACACGAUGAACAACCAGCUCAGAACUGAACCGGGCAAGGGGAAUCCGACUGUUUAAUUGAAACAAAGCAUUGCGAUGGUCUCAAGGGGUGUUGACACAAUGUGAUUUCUGCCCAGUGCUCUGAAUGUGAAAGUGAGGAGAUUCAAUUAAGCGCGGGUAAACGGCGGGAGUAACUAUGACUCUCUUAAGGUAGCCAAAUGCCUCGUCAUCCAAUUAGUGACGCGCAUGAAUGGAUCAAUGAGAUUCCCACUGUCCCCAUCUACUGUCCAGCGAAACCACAGCCAAGGGAACGGGCUUGGGUGAGCCAGCGGGGAAAGAAGACCCUGUUGAGCUUGACUCUAAUCUGACUUUGUGAAAUGACUUAGGAGGUGUAGAAUAUGUGGGAGCCCAUGUGAUCUUGAAAUACCACUACUCUUGAUGUCACUUUACUUACUCUGUUCCACUGUGACCUGUCCUUGAUCAGGUUUUUGCUAGAAAGCUUGUCCCCUGGAAUUGCUGAGCUGCGUGGAAGAUGCAGUCAGGUGGGGAGUUUGGCUGGGGCGGCACAU